UACGGAGGGUGCAAACGUUGCUCGGAAUCAUUGGGCGUAAAGCGCACGUAGGCGGACCGCUAAGUCGGAUGUGAAAGCCCUUGGCUCAACUGAGGAAGUGCACCCGAAACUGAGUGGCUAGAGUACGAAAGAGGGUCGCGGAAUUCCCGGUGUAGAGGUGAAAUUCGUAGAUAUCGGGAGGAACACCGGUGGCGAAGGCGGCGACCUGGGUCGAUACUGACGCUGAUGCGCGAAAGCGUGGGGAGCAAACAGG
rnacentral:rRNA from 1 species